UGCGUAGGCGGGACAAUAAGUCAGUGGUGAAAUCCUGCAGCUUAACUGUAGAAUUGCCAUUGAUACUGUUGUUCUUGAGUUCAGUUGAGGUGGGCGGAAUGUGUAAUGUAGCGGUGAAAUGCUUAGAUAUUACACAGAACACCGAUUGCGAAGGCAGCUCACUAAACUGAUACUGACGCUGAUGCACGAAAGCGUGGGGAGCGAACAGGAUUAGAUACCCUGGUAGUCC
rnacentral:rRNA from 1 species